CAGAGAUUGAACUCAGGUCUCCCACAUUGCAGGUGGAUUCUUUUCCAGCUGAGCCACAAAGGAAGUCCAAGGGCACCAACAAUCCCAGUCCUCCACUCGCCACUGGAAGCAGCAAGAUCCAUGAAUAUAACAACACAUGACAUGGCAGGAGCACCCAUGACGCCAGAUCCUCCUGCACCACUUCCCUCCCGCCACAGUUACAGAGCCCGCAAAUUAGGGGCACAGCAGACGAGUCCAUCGUUCCAGUGCUCCAAGCUGCAACACAAGCAGCACUUGGAGCAGCAAGACACCAACAAACCUGGAGGCGCAAGCACCAAUACCAGGAGAACUCGGUGACAUCUCUGACAAGGCAGUGGAAGGUCAACAGUGCCAACUCUCAAAUAUAAUCAGAGACAGAUGCCAAAAUCAGACAUAGACGGUACAAUAAAGAAAACUAAGCCAAUAUCUGUUAUGAAUACAGAAACAAAAAUCUUCAACAAAAUGCCAAACUGAGCAACUUAUGAAAGGGAUUAUAUACCACCACCAAGGGGACUUACCUCAAGAAUGAAAGUUGGCUCAGCAUAUGAAAAGCAAUCAAUGUAAUACACUGUUUCAGUAAAAUCAAGGGAAAAAACCACAUGAUCAUCUCAAUAACACAGAAAAAGCAUCUGACAAAAUCUAACAUCCUGUCAAUAACAACAAACUAGGAAUGAAAGGAAUCUUCCUCAGUCUGAUGGAGGGCAUCUAGGAAAACUACACUGCCAAUGAUGAAAGAUCGAAGACUUCUCCUAAAGAUCAGGGACACAUGUCUUCAUAUCUCUUGAGAAUGUAUCUGGAAUUGCUGGGUCAUAUCCUGCUACUAUGUUUACCAAACUAGCAAUGUAUGGAAGUUUCAAUUUCUCCAAAUCUUCACCAACAUUUAUUAUUUUCAAUCUUUUAGACUGUAGCCAUGCUUGUGGUUGUGAAGCAAUAUUAUACUUUGGUUUUGAUUUGUAUUUCCCCAAUGAUUGUUGAGGUUGAUCAUCUUAUGUAUUUAGGUCAAGUCUAUAUCCACUUGACACAUUAUGUCUUAAUUCAACACAAUCUGCAUUAAUUGUGCAUUUGUUAAUAAACUUCAAAUGGAAAAAAUGAAAAAGAAAGUCUAUUAUGUCUGAAAAAAAAAUCAGCGACAGUGCAGGUAAGAGCAAUCAAAAACUUACGCUAUAAAACUACCUAUUGGAAACAACAGAAAAGACUCUAAUUUCUAACCUGUUGAAUCCUUAUUUUAAGAAAAGGUGUUCCCUUCAGGUGCAUGAGCAGGCAAACAAAUGAUCAAGCACCAUGAGGAAACACAAUAACACUAUACUUUCCCCCAAUAUGCACACAAAGAUAAUUCUUCAGAAACCAAGCUUGAAGUUACAGAGAAUUCAAAAUAGUUGUCAUGAAAAAAUUCAAAAAGGCAGUUCAGUGAGCUCAGGAGUAAAAUUAAUGAACAGAGUGAACAGACGGAAUACUUUACCAAAGAAACUGAAACUCUAAAAUAGAACUAAAGAAAAUCUGGAGCUGAAGAACUCAAUAAACAAGUUGAAGAGUGCAUUCAAAAGCACUGCAAAUAAAGCAAACCUUGUGGAAGAGAGAAUUAGUGAUCUUGAAGGUGGGAGUCCAGAAAUGAUGCAAUUAGAAGAGGAAAGAAAAUUAAAUUUUUUUAAACAAGGAAAUCUAUGAGAGCUAGUCUAUUAUUUUAGGAAAGGUAAUAUUAAGGUUAUGGUUCCCCAGAAGGAGAAGAGAGAGAAAAAGAAGCAGAGAGUUUAUUUGAAGAAAUAAUGUCUGAGAACUCUCCAAACCUGAGAAAAGAACUAGACACACAAGUCCAUGAACCUAAGAGAACAGCUUGUUACCGCAAAGCAAAAAGAAGAUUUCCAAGAUAUAUUAUAUUAAAAUUGUCAGAAAUCAAUGACAAAGAUUUUAAAAGGAGCCAUGGAAAAAUGGAUGGCAACUUACAAAGGAACCCCCAUUAGGCUAUCAGCAGUUUUGUUAUCAGAAAUACUAUAGGCCAACAGGGAGUAGAAUAACAUUUUCAAAAUACUGAAAGGUAGAAACUGUCAACCAUGAAUACUCUACCCAGCAAAGUUAUCAUUUAGAUAUGAAGGACAAAUAAAGGCUUUCCUAAACAAACAAAAGCUGAGGGAGUUAAUCACCACUAGAAAUGCUUUAUAAGAAAUGUUGACCAGAAACAAAAACGCAGAAGUACACAAAACUUUCACUGGGCUCCCCAGCUGUGGAGUCUAACGUUGGAAAAAUUAACUCUCUUUGGUGUUUAGCUUGUCUGAAAACCAGUGGAUUUAUCAGAAGGCUGUUAGAAGCCAAUUCUCAACUCCUGAAAUGUACAGGCACACCCUUGCUUACUCGUGGGAAUGAGGCAUGGGCAGCAGAUUGGAAAUAGCCUGAGGCUCAGGCCAGUUUCCUGUAAUCACAACAGGGUGCACCCCAAUGCACACUGGGGGCCUGCUCCAGCCCCUCUUUCUCUAGGACUGCUGCUGCUCUCCACUGGGGCAAAGGUGCCCUUGCCAGGGGAGGACCGCACGCAUGGAGGAAGCGGAGCCAGCUUACACAUGACAAUGCUUCUGAAUGGGACCAUGGCAACGGUUUCCAGGGAGCAUGAGGAGGCAGUGUGCUGGAGACUGCCUGGGGCUCUGACAAGCCUGGUGGGACAGUCCCAGCAUGUACCCCAGGCCACACCAGGUGACUGCUGGAGCCCUUUCUGCCUCUGCCCUCCACUGGGGUGGUGAGUGCCCUUGCUGAGCAAGUACACCCUUACAGGCAAGGAAACCAGAUAGGACCCAACUCCCAGAGCUUCUGCUCCAGCACCUUGGGCCCUGGUUCUGACCCUGAUUAGAGCAGGGAAGUGAUGGUCCCUGAGCAGAGGAGAAGCCUGGCUCACACCCGGCACUGGCUCUAACCACUCCAUCUCCAGCCCCACCUCCAACCAAGGUGAUAGCUGCCAGCACACCCUGGAAGAAGAUGUGAUCCAUGCUCGCUUCAGACCCAGUUCUCCUAUCAAAGCCACUGGGUACACACAACUGCAUAGGGUGGCUCACACAUAAAGACACCCCUUCAAGACUGGGAAAACAUGCAAAGCUCUGCAUCUGUAAAGAUGAGUAAGACAUCGUCCUUGACUCAAACAACUCAUGGUGUAUAAGAAGAGAGAAGAGAUUUAACAAUUCCAACCCUUGGAGGCCAGCACCCUAGUAGACCAGUGAGCAAGGAAGGUUGAAGAAGGAAGAGGUGAUGAAGAAAGCAACACCAUUCAUUUUUUUUUAAAAAAGAAAUGAUGCAUAUAUAUGUGUGUGUGUUUGUAUGUGUAUGUAUUCUGUGGAUUAUCUUGUUAUCAUUACAGUUAUCUUCUUUCCACCAAAGUCUGCAAUAACAUUAACUCCUGCAAGGGCAUUCUGGAUCUUUUAAAUUAGCCACUGUUAUAUUGUAGGAGACUGUCAUAGGAGAGGAGUCAGUUUACUUUUAACAUUUUCACAGGAGAGCUGUUUAAAACAACCUAUUCAGCAGAAGACAUCUUUAACCCUAAUAAUCUCAAGCCUUGAUGAAAAAACUAUAUUUUGUAGAUUAUGGUUAAAUGGAGAAA